rnacentral:misc_RNA from 1 species
GAUGAAGAACGCAGCGAAAUGCGAUAAGUAAUGUGAAUUGCAGAAUUCCGUGAAUCAUCGAAUCUUUGAACGCACAUUGCGCCCGCCAGUAUUCUGGCGGGUAUGCCUGUUCGAGCGUCAUUUCAACCAUCAAGCCCCCGGCUUGUGUUGGGGACCUGCGGCUGCCGCAGGCCCUGAAAACCAGUGGCGGGCUCGCUAGUCACUCCGAGCGUAGUAAUACAUCUCGCUCAGGGCGUGCUGCGGGUUCCGGCCGUUAAAAAGCCUUAGUUACCCAAGGUUGACCUCGGAUCAGGUAGGAAGACCCGCUGAACUUAAGCAUAUCAAUAAGCGGAGGA